rnacentral:lncRNA from 1 species
GUCUCCUUAAAUUGUAUUCUGAACUUUAAAAACAUUAAAUCUAUUUUAGAAUGUUUUGCUAAAUGGUAACGCUACUGGAACACUUGGGAUGAUUCCCAUUUUCCUUUAUUAUUUACUAUGCCAAAUGUUCAGUUUCUUUUAACUUUCUCGCGAAAUGUGACAUUUUUUCUAGUUUCACGGUGUUGUUUAAUCUUCGAUUUGCGAAUUCAUUUUUACAUACACUAAAGGAGACACUUACGUGUUUAUCUAUUUUUGUCUCAUUAUUUGUUGUUUCAUUAGUCGAUGUUUUUUGUACUGUUGGUAGGUACAUACAAAUGUUCGACUUGAUGAUAUUUGAGGUAUAAACCAUGUUAACCGCAAUGUAAUAAAUAUUCUACAUAGAUAAUGUGUGACAUCGCCAGAAAAUUUAAAAUGUGUCAAGUCGGUUCUAUAACAAUACACUUCAGAAAAUAUGAA